CUCUACAGAGUGAUUAUCCCGGAGCACUGAAAGAGAAACAUGCCCUGUCCAAUCCUACAGAAAGGCCCUAUAUGAGGCCAUGUCAUGCUGUAGCACUGACAACACAUUAGGACUUUUACAUGCUUAAAACUGUAAAGUGCCCCAAGACUCGGAUAUGAGGGGAUGCAGAGGGUUAGAAUUGGGAUAAGAGUGGUAGCUAGAGGUCAGGAAUAAGGGCCUGCCAAUGUUUUUAAAUUAAUUUGGAUUAAAGGUGUGAAUUUAAAGUGCAUUGGCUAUUUGUGAAUAACUCCAUGUGUGGACACACUUAUUCUGGAACGAGAGUGCCUUCACCAAUUUAGCUUUAAUUCAAACUGGGGCUAUGUGGUCCAAGGGGUUUAUAAAAGCAGGCUGCUGAGUACUGUUGGAUAGAGCUGAGAGAGGAGGAGGCGGCAAAGCAGCAGCAGCAGAAACACCACAGAAGCAGCCAGAGAAGGCAGCCAGGAUAUCCCAGAGAAAUGCACUUGUUGUGAGCUUUGGAAGAGCGAUGGCUGGUAAGAGGCUUAGAACUGUGAGCAAAGAAACUGUCUCCUGCUGUCUGAGCCCUUCUGUGUACAGGGAAACAGGAUAUUGUGUACAUUCUUGUAAGUAAGCAGGAUUGUAUCAAAGACGCACCUGACUACAUUAACAAUUUCUCCUUCCAAAGGAAACAACCAACUACACCCCAAAAUCAGCAUGCGUCAAACAGGAUUUAGCUAAACUGGAACAAGAUACUCCUAUUCCAGAAUAAGAGUGUUCACACAUGGAGUUAUUUAGCAAUAGUUAUUCCAGACAAGAUAUUCCUGAAUAACUCCAGCGUAGACAAGGGGCGGGGGGUUGCACAGGGCUGAGGCUGAGAACAGGAAUGGGAUAACGGGUGGGGCUGGUAGGGUAAGGAUUUGUGAUGUCCUGGAGCUAUGUGUUUAAAGGGUCCCAGAACUGGGAUAGCAAGAAAGGAUCUGGACUUCUCUGAGGGAGAUAAAUGUGUGUGCACAAGGAGGAAGGUGGUUAGCUAGAAAGGGAGAUACAGCUUUGGGAAGGCAGGACAGGGACAGAAGGAAGGGCAGAAUUUCAGGGUUCUGGGACUAAGGUGUGGGGUAGGAUUCCAGGAGUCCCAGAGCUGGGAUAAUAGGGAUGGCUGAGGGAAAACAGGAUUCAGGGGGCUGGGGGAGCAAGGAGGGCUGAAGGGGACAGGUUUGGUGAGGAGUCAGGAUUUGAGGGAACCUAGGGAGGGUAGAUUUUGGCAGUAGCCCAGGGCAGGAGGCCAAGAUUCAGGAAUCCUGAAGCAGCAGGGGAUCAGGGACUAAGACAGGCAGACUCUGGAGGUGUCCCAGGUCUGUGAGGGGAAUGACUGAGGGUCCGACGGGCUGUGAGAGCUGAGAGAUGGUGAUAGGGCAAGUUUGAGAGAAUCUCAGGGCUAGUGGGAAUCAGGAUUUUGGGUCCCGGGGAGCUGACAGGGGCUGGUGGCUGAAGGGGCAGGUUUGGGGAAAUCUUGGAGCUGGUGGGAGGAGCAGUUUGGGGGCAGGAGAAAGCAAGGCUCGGGGUCCUAAGGAGCUAGUGUGGGGGAGCAGGGUUCAGUGACGGUUUGGUGGUAGGGGGCACAGGUUUCGAGAAGGUCUUGGAGUAGGUGGGGGAAACUGAGUUUGGCGGCUGGGGUCACUGAGGGGCAGGUUCAGGGAGCUCUGGGGGGCAGGUUUGGGGGCCGUGCUGAGUGGGAGGCGCUGUGGUAAGCUGAGGGGUGUCAGUACGGGUGCAGGGCGGGAUUAGGGGCAGGUUCAGGGAGCUGUGGGGGGCAGGUUUGAGGGCCGUGCUGAGUGGGAGGCGCUGUGGUAAGCUGAGGGGUGUCAGUACGGGUGCAGGGCGGGAUUAGGGGCAGGUUCAGGGAGCUCUGGGGGGCAGGUUUGGGGGCCGUGCUGAGUGGGAGGCGCUGUGGUAAGCUGAGGGGUGUCAGUACGGGUGCAGGGCGGGAUUAGGGGCAGGUUCAGGGAGCUCUGGGGGGCAGGUUUGGGGGCCGUGCUGAGUGGGAGGCGCUGUGGUAAGCUGAGGGGUCUCAGUACGGGUGCAGGGCGGGAUCAGGGGCAGGUUCAGGGAGCUCUGGGGGGCAGGUUUGGGGGCCGUGCUGAGUGGGAGGCGCUGUGGUAAGCUGAGGGGUCUCAGUACGGGUGCAGGGCGGGAUUAGGGGCAGGUUCAGGGAGCACUGGGGGGCAGGUUUGAGGGCCGUGCUGAGUGGGAGGCGCUGUGGUAAGCUGAGGGGUCUCAGUACGGGUGCAGGGCGGGAUCAGGGGCAGGUUCAGGGAGCUCUGGGGGGCAGGUUUGGGGGCCGUGCUGAGUGGGAGGCGCUGUGGUAAGCUGAGGGGUCUCAGUACGGGUGCAGGGUGGGAUUAGGGGCAGGUUCAGGGAGCUCUGGGGGGCAGGUUUGGGGGCCGUGCUGAGUGGGAGGCGCUGUGGUAGGCUGAGGGGUCUCAGUACGGGUGCAGGGCGGGAUUAGGGGCAGGUUCAGGGAGCUCUGGGGGGCAGGUUUGGGGGCCGUGCUGAGUGGGAGGCGCUGUGGUAAACUGAGGGGUGUCAGUACGGGUGCAGGGCGGGAUGAGGGGCAGGUUCAGGGAGCUCUGGGGGGCAGGUUUGGGGGCCGUGCUGAGUGGGAGGCGCUGUGGUAAGCUGAGGGGUGUCAGUACGGGUGCAGGGCGGGAUUAGGGGCAGGUUCAGGGAGCUCUGGGGGGCAGGUUUGGGGGCCGUGCUGAGUGGGAGGCGCUGUGGUAAGCUGAGGGGUCUCAGUACGGGUGCAGGGCGGGAUUAGGGGCAGGUUCAGGGAGCACUGGGGGGCAGGUUUGAGGGCCGUGCUGAGUGGGAGGCGCUGUGGUAAGCUGAGGGGUCUCAGUACGGGUGCAGGGCGGGAUCAGGGGCAGGUUCAGGGAGCUCUGGGGGGCAGGUUUGGGGGCCGUGCUGAGUGGGAGGCGCUGUGGUAAGCUGAGGGGUCUCAGUACGGGUGCA